rnacentral:rRNA from 1 species
AUACGGAGGAUCCAAGCGUUAUCCGGAUUUAUUGGGUUUAAAGGGUGCGCAGGCGGCCUUAUAAGUCAGUGGUGAAAUCUCCCGGCUCAACCGGGAAACUGCCAUUGAUACUGUAAGGCUAGAAUACAGACGAGGUAGGCGGAAUGUAGCAUGUAGCGGUGAAAUGCUUAGAUAUGCUACAGAACACCAAUCGCGAAGGCAGCUUACCAGACUGUAAUUGACGCUAAGGCACGAAAGCGUGGGGAGCGAACAGGAUUAGAAACCCGUGUAGUCC